CCUACGGGAGGCAGCAGUGGGGAAUAUUGGACAAUGGGGGGAACCCUGAUCCAGCGACGCCGCGUGAGUGAAGAAGUAUUUCGGUAUGUAAAGCUCUAUCAGCAGGGAAGAAAGAAAUGACGGUACCUGACUAAGAAGCCCCGGCUAACUACGUGCCAGCAGCCGCGGUAAUACGUAGGGGGCAAGCGUUAUCCGGAUUUACUGGGUGUAAAGGGAGCGUAGACGGCGAUGCAAGUCUGAAGUGAAAGGCGGGGGCCCAACCCCCGGACUGCUUUGGAAACUGUAUGGCUGGAGUGCAGGAGAGGUAAGUGGAAUUCCUAGUGUAGCGGUGAAAUGCGUAGAGAUUAGGAGGAACACCAGUGGCGAAGGCGGCUUACUGGACUGUAACUGACGUUGAGGCUCGAAAGCGUGGGGAGCAAACAGGAUCAGAUACCCGAGUAGUC
rnacentral:rRNA from 1 species